AUUGAACGCUGGCGGCAUGCUUUACACAUGCAAGUCGAACGGCAGCACGGGUGCUUGCACCUGGUGGCGAGUGGCGAACGGGUGAGUAAUGCAUCGGAACGUGCCUAUUAGUGGGGGAUAACGCUUCGAAAGGAGUGCUAAUACCGCAUAAUCUCUGAGGAGGAAAGCGGGGGACCUUAGGGCCUCGCGCUGAUAGAGCGGCCGAUGUCGGAUUAGCUAGUUGGUGAGGUAACGGCUCACCAAGGCGACGAUCCGUAGCGGGUCUGAGAGGAUGAUCCGCCACACUGGGACUGAGACACGGCCCAGACUCCUACGGGAGGCAGCAGUGGGGAAUUUUGGACAAUGGGCGCAAGCCUGAUCCAGCCAUGCCGCGUGAGUGAAGAAGGCCUCGGUUGUAAAGCUCUUUGUUCCGGAGCAAGUCCUACUGGCUAAUAUCUGUGGGAGUGAGAGUACUGGAAGAAUAAGACACCGGCGUAACUACG
rnacentral:rRNA from 1 species